GCCAGGGUUUUAUGCUCUCUUUCCGUGUCUCCUUCCUGCAGCCGGCAUCUCCACCACCACUCCCGGGGAAGCGGGAACCAAUUUAAGAAGCGUGGGGAAAUGAUCCAGAGAGCCAGCAUGAGGCGUGAGCUUUCGCAGGCUGCAGCCACACACGUGAAGAGAAGAACCUGACGGGAAUGUCCAACUGGACUGAAGUCCUUCCACUAAGAGCCGCGUUGGUAUAAACACGGUAUGAAGACGCCAGACCGCAGCAGAAAUGGAGCCUGAUAAAGGU
rnacentral:lncRNA from 1 species